rnacentral:rRNA from 1 species
GACGAACGCUGGCGGCGUGCUUAACACAUGCAAGUCGAACGGAAAGGCCCUGCUUUUGUGGGGUGCUCGAGUGGCGAACGGGUGAGUAACACGUGAGUAACCUGCCCUUGACUUUGGGAUAACUUCAGGAAACUGGGGCUAAUACCGCAUACGUCCUGAGGGAGCAAGUGGGGGAUCUUCGGACCUCACGCUAUCAGAUGAGCCUAGGUCGGAUUAGCUAGUUGGUGGGGUAAAGGCCUACCAAGGCGACGAUCCGUAACUGGUCUGAGAGGAUGAUCAGUCACACUGGAACUGAGACACGGUCCAGACUCCUACGGGAGGCAGCAGUGGGGAAUAUUGGACAAUGGGCGAAAGCCUGAUCCAGCCAUGCCGCGUGUGUGAAGAAGGUCUUCGGAUUGUAAAGCACUUUAAGUUGGGAGGAAGGGCAGUAAGUUAAUACCUUGCUGUUUUGACGUUACCAACAGAAUAAGCACCGGCUAACUUCGUG